rnacentral:lncRNA from 1 species
UUACCAACGUGUGUGCUUUCUGAAAUCCUAAAUGAAGUGGUGCUACAGGAAGGAGAUAAGGCAUACUUAAGAUUGGCUCUUGUGUGUACCACCUUCAGGGACACUGUGUCCACUGACUCCUUCAGGAGACGGGCACAUUUUCAGUGGCUUGAUAGUGUCACUACAUGGAGCAGGUUUACUGAGUCCUAAAGAAAAUAAUUCUACACCAUGUACACCGUGGACACCUGUCGUGAAUGUGGAAUGCUUUUCAAAAACUGCACACCUGGAUAUGUUGGAACAGGACAAAGGGGUGUACUUGAAGCAGUUUACUCAGAAUACCCACAUCCAGGUUACUGCGAUCACUUUUGCCGCCAAAUGCAAUAGUGAGAACGGACACGUAUACUACCUGUUGGCAGACAACCCUGAGCCAGCUGGGUGUUUUUCAAGCUGCAGGCCCCCGUGAAAAUUUGUGGCUGGAAACUUGGGAUUUAAUUUUGAAUUCUCCAGUGUUAUUACAGACUGUUAAUUAAUUGUUUAUGUCAAAAAAGAGAUGUCAUAUGUUUAAACAACCUUUGGGUGAACUUUUUGUAUAAUUUUAAAAAUGUUAAAACUAACAUCUAUUGAGAGUCUACUUUAUGCUUUUUUGGUUUUAAUAACGUCCUGUUCAAUGUGUAAUAAAAUUCAAAUCCUCUGAAUAUUGAGUCCAUUUCUGAACACUGGAGAGAUCGUGUGUACAACUGGUGAUCCGGUUUAUUGAAUGCAUUGCACCAAUAUGAUUUCUACCCAGAGCUGUACAUGAUUAUCAUUUGUUAAUAUAAUAAUACAGACAGUCUGACUUUUCCAUACCCACAGGAUUAAAGGGCCUACAUCUACGUACAGAUACUGAUCAGCAUAAAGUCCUUUGGAAUCACAUGUAAACUGCAGUGGAGGAUUUUUCUUUCAGUGCUUGGACCCAGAGAGAGCCUUCUAGUCCUCUUGUGACCAGCCCACUAUGUGACAUAGUACAUAACUUACAUCCACAUCUAC